rnacentral:rRNA from 1 species
UACGGGGGGAGCAAGUGUUGUUCGGAUUUACUGGGCGUAAAGGGCGCGUAGGCGGCCACCGCAAGUCGACUGUGAAAUCUCCGGGCUUAACCCGGAAAGGUCAGCCGAUACUGCGGGGCUAGAGUGCAGAAGGGGCAACUGGAAUUCUCGGUGUAGCGGUGAAAUGCGUAGAUAUCGAGAGGAACACCUGCGGCGAAGGCGGGUUGCUGGGCUGACACUGACCGCUGAGGCGCGAAAGCUAGGGGAGCGAACGGG